rnacentral:misc_RNA from 1 species
UUUGCUGAUUCUCUUGCUCUCUUUCGCUUCCUCAAAAAGGCUUAUCGUCUUUUGAGCUUCCUCUACCCUCAUGAAACGCAUCAAAUCUACCAAGUAGAUAUACUUGGCGCCGGGCUUAGCAACAUUUUGAAAGAUUUUCUUCGCAGCAAUCUUUGCCUCCUGCUCGCUCCUAAUCGUCACUGCUGACUCGUCCUCUCCAAUAUCUUGCGGUAUCCGCUCUUCCAGCGUCGUCAACGCGCCAUGCCUAACAAUCCUUAUCAACCUCUUCAUGUUCCAAGCAGACACAUUCUUCUGAUUUAGUUUGUG